UACGUAGGGGGCGAGCGUUGUCCGGAAUUAUUGGGCGUAAAGAGCUCGUAGGCGGUUCGGCAAGUCACGUGUGAAAUCUCCACGCUCAACGUGGAGGCGCCACGUGAGACUGCUGUGACUCGAGUCCGGUAGGGGAGCGUGGAAUUCCCGGUGUAGCGGUGAAAUGCGCAGAUAUCAGGAGGAACACCGAUGGCGAAGGCAGGUCUCUGGGCCACUACUGACGCUGAGAAGCGAAAGCAUGGGGAGCGAACAGG
rnacentral:rRNA from 1 species